UGGAACAAGUAGGAAUGAGAAUGUUACAAGAAUUCCUCUUAGCAAGCCAUUUGCAAAAUUCUGUUCAUGGUGGUUACUUAAAUAUUUUGCAGCAUUAAUUUUUUCAACUUUUUAAGAGAUGCUGCAACUCAGCAUUCCAGUGUUUUUGACAAGACGUGUUCCUUAGCUUCUCCCCACUCACCCAUGUGUUGCAAUACAACUCAGAGAACCUUACCUAAUAGUGUAAUAGGAGGUGGAUGGAGGUGAUGGACAGGAAUAGGAAAACUCACAAUGGCCGAGUGAAUUUUAGCCUUAUUCUCUCUUCUGAUUGUUCUCUCUCUUUCUCUUCUCUUUCAGAAAUUUAGAGAUCCAUUGGCUGCUUCUACAUGUGGCAAGUGUGAGAGAGUUCUUGGGAGAGCUGCCCAUCAUCUGAAGAAUGGGAGUGUACGUGAACAAGAGAUGAGUGUCCACUCCAGCCCAGAGAUGUCAGAAGACAUGAGGCUGCAAGCAAAGCCUAAAUAGGGUCCCAGGAAAACCAUGAGAAACCAUCGUAUGUCUGUUAGAAUGGCCCAAAUCCCGAACACUGACAGCACCAAGUGCUGGUGAGGAUGCAGAGCAACAGGAACUCUCACUCAUUGCUGGUGGGUACGCAAAAUAGGACAGCCACUUUGGAAUGCAGUUUGGCAGUUUCUUGUAAAACUAAACAUACGC
rnacentral:lncRNA from 1 species